rnacentral:rRNA from 1 species
ACCUACGGGACGCAGCAGUAGGGAAUUUUCGUCAAUGGGCGCAAGCCUGAACGAGCAAUGCCGCGUGAACGAGGAAGGUCUUCGGAUCGUAAAGUUCUGUUGAAGGGGAAAAAGAGCGGAGAGAGGAUAUGCUUUCUGAUUGAUAUUACCCUUCGAGGAAGUCACGGCUAACUACGUGCCAGCAGCCGCGGUAAUACGUAGGUGGCGAGCGUUAUCCGGAAUGAUUGGGCGUAAAGGGUGCGUAGGCGGCCUGCUAAGUCUGGAGUGAAAGGUACCGGCUCAACCGGUACAGGCUCUGGAAACUG